UAUCCUACGGGAGGCAGCAGUGGGGGAUAUUCACAAUGGGGGAAACCCUGAUGCAGCGACGCCGCGUGGGCGAAGAAGUAUUUGGGUAUGUAAAGCCGUAUCAGCAGGGAAGAAGAAAUGACGGUACCUGAGUAAGAAGCACCGGCUAAAUACGUGCCAGCAGCCGCGGUAAUACGUAUGGUGCAAGCGUUAUCCGGAUUUACUGGGUGUAAAGGGAGCGCAGGCAGCACGGCAAGCCUGAUGUGAAAUCCCGCGGCCCAACCGCGG
rnacentral:rRNA from 1 species